rnacentral:rRNA from 1 species
GAUGAACGCUGGCGGCGUGCCUAAUACAUGCAAGUCGAGCGAACACACGAGGAGCUUUCUCCUCUGACGUUAGCGUCGGACGGGUUAGUAACACGUUUAUAACCUACCUAUAAGACUUGGAUAACUUCGGGAAACCGCAGCUAAUACCGGAUAAUAUAUUGAACCGCAUGGUUCAAUCGUGAAUUUCGGUUUUGCCGUCACUUUUAGUUGGUUCCGCGGCGCAUUAUGUAGUUGGUAAGGUAACGGCUGACCAAGGCAACGAUGCGUAGCCGGGCUGAGAGGGUGAUCGCGGACACUGGAGCUGAGACACGGUCCAGACUACUACGGGGGGCAGCAGUAGGGAAGAUUGGCCAAUGGAAGAAAGACUGAUGGAGCAACGCCGCGUGGGAGAAGAAAGCAUUCGGGUAGUAAAACGAUGUUUUUAGGAAAGAACAAAAGUAAGCAGAAAUUACCACGGCUUGACGGUACAUAAACAGAAAGCCGAGGGUAACUACAUG